CCCUUAGAUGUUCUGGGCCGCACACGCGCUACACUGACGAAUGCAACGAGCUUAUAACCUUGGCCGAAAGGUCUGGGUAAUCUCCAAAUUUCGUCGUGAUGGGGAUAGAUUAUUGCAAUUAUUAAUCUUCAACGAGGAAUGCCUAGUAAGCGCAAGUCAUCAGCUUGCGUUGAUUACGUCCCUGCCCUUUGUACACACCGCCCGUCGCUCCUACCGAUUGAAUGGUCCGGUGAAAUCUUCGGAUCUGAGAGAUGUUGGAUUAAUUUCUGACGCCUUUUGGAAAAGUCGCUUAAACCUUAUCAUUUAGAGGAAGGUGAANUCGUANCA
rnacentral:rRNA from 1 species